rnacentral:rRNA from 1 species
AGUGAACGCUGGCGGUAGGCCUAACACAUGCGAGUCGAACGGCAGCACAGUAAGAGCUUGCUCUUACGGGUGGCGAGUGGCGGACGGGUGAGGAAUACAUCGGAAUCUACUUUUUCGUGGGGGAUAACGUAGGGAAACUUACGCUAAUACCGCAUACGACCUACGGGUGAAAGUAGGGGAUCUUCGGACCUUGCGCGAUUGAAUGAGCCGAUGUCGGAUUAGCUAGUUGGCGGGGUAAAGGCCCACCAAGGCGACGAUCCGUAGCUGGUCUGAGAGGAUGAUCAGCCACACUGGAACUGAGACACGGUCCAGACUCCUACGGGAGGCAGCAGUGGGGAAUAUUGGACAAUGGGCGCAAGCCUGAUCCAGCCAUACCGCGUGGGUGAAGAAGGCCCUCGGGUUGUAAAGCCCUUUUGUUGGGAAAGAAAAGCAGCAGGUUAAUACCCCGCUGUUCUGACGGUACCCAAAGAAUAAGCACCGGCUAACUUCGUG